rnacentral:lncRNA from 1 species
UCGUGGAAAAGGCAAGGAAUGUUGUAAAUAUAUUUUACAAGAUGCAAAAUAAUGGAUGUUUCAUGAAUAUACAGAUUGUUUAAAAAUACCAUUGAAAGUUCACAUUUUGUCAGUUAUGUUUAACGUCGUUGAUUUUACCCAGCUGGGGUUGAAAUCAAUGAGCUCCCGUACUUGAGGCGGUCACACCAAAAAGAAAAUGCAGACUGACAACAAAAAGAUCUUAAAACAAUAAAUCACAGACAAUAAAAAAAAAUCUUGCAAUUGCAUUAUGGGAUAAUCUAUUUAGCUAUCACGUUCAAAGUUCAACCAUGGUUAAUAAAUUCAAUAGCCGUCAUUGUACACCACUGAUAUCCCGUUUUUUUUAUUCUAAAAGCUUUGGUCACCUAGUGUUUGUCACCACGAUGACUAUAGCUGUUCAGUUUCAUAUAUCAGACCAUGAUUGACCCUCUGUAAUCUCAGCGGCUGACCAUUUGUAAAGAUUUUUCCAAAAACGGCAUUAAAAUGAACUUUCAAUGGUGGAUUCGCUUGUAAAAAGGAAACUUUUUAUGGAUCCCAACA